rnacentral:rRNA from 1 species
AACGAACGCUGGCGGCAUGCCUAACACAUACAAGUCGAACGAGACCUUCGGGUCUAGUGGCGCACGGGUGCGUAACGCGUGGGAACCUGCCCUUAGGUUCGGAAUAACUCCCCGAAAGGGGUGCUAAUACCGGAUAAUGUCUUCGGCCCAAAGAUUUAUCGCCUUUGGAUGGUCCCGCGUUGGAUUAGCUAGUUGUUAGGGUAAAAGCCUACCAAGGCGACGAUCCAUAGCUGGUCUGAGAGGAUGAUCAGCCACACUGGGACUGAGAAACGGCCCAGACUCCUACGGGAGGCAGCAGUGGGGAAUAGUGGAAAAUGGGCGAAAGCAUGAUCCAGCAAUGCCGCGUGAGUGAUGAAGGCCUUAGGGUUGUAAAGCUCUUUUACCCGGGAUGAUAAUGACAGUACCGGGAGAAUAAGCUACGGCUAACUACGUG